UACGUAGGCAGCGAGCGUUGUUCGGAGUUACUGGGCGUAAAGAGUGCGUAGGCGGUUUUCUAAGUUUGGUGUGAAAUCUCCCGGCUCAACUGGGAGGGUGCGCCGAAGACUGGAAGGCUUGAGUAUGGGAGAGGUAAGCGGAAUUCCUGGUGUAGCGGUGAAAUGCGUAGAUAUCAGGAGGAACACCUGCGGUGUAGACGGCUUACUGGACCAUAACUGACACUCAGGGACGAAAGCUAGGGGAGCGAAUGGG
rnacentral:rRNA from 1 species